GUGUUCACUUUGGCACCACAUAUACAGAGAAAUUGUGAUGAUACAUAGAAGAUUAACAUGGCCCCUUUGCAAAGAUGACACACAAAUUCAUGAAGCAUUUCAUAUUUUC
ensembl:snRNA U6 U6 spliceosomal RNA